rnacentral:rRNA from 1 species
GUGUACCCGCGGCAAGACGGAAAGACCCCGUGAACCUUUACUACAGCUUGACACUGAACAUUGAGCCUUGAUGUGUAGGAUAGGUGGGAGGCUUUGAAGCGUGGACGCCAGUCUGCGUGGAGCCGACCUUGAAAUACCACCCUUUAAUGUUUGAUGUUCUAACCUGGCGCCGUGAUCCGGCGUGGGGACAGUGUCUGGUGGGUAGUUUGACUGGGGCGGUCUCCUCCCAAAGUGUAACGGAGGAGCACGAAGGUCAGCUAAUCCUGGUCGGACAUCAGGAGGUUAGUGCAAUGGCAUAAGCUGGCUUGACUGCGAGAGUGACGGCUCGAGCAGGUGCGAAAGCAGGUCAUAGUGAUCCGGUGGUUCUGUAUGGAAGGGCCAUCGCUCAACGGAUAAAAGGUACUCCGGGGAUAACAGGCUGAUACCGCCCAAGAGUUCAUAUCGACGGCGGUGUUUGGCACCUCGAUGUCGGCUCAUCACAUCCUGGGGCUGAAGUAGGUCCCAAGGGUAUGGCUGUUCGCCAUUUAAAGUGGUACGCGAGCUGGGUUUAGAACGUCGUGAGACAGUUCGGUCCCUAUCUGCCGUGGGCGCUGGAGAAUUGAGGGGGGCUGCUCCCAGUACGAGAGGACCGGAGUGGACGCAUCACUGGUGUUCGGGUUGUCAUGCCAAUGGCACUGCCCGGUAGCUAAAUGCGGAAGAGAUAAGUGCUGAAAGCAUCUAAGCACGAAACUUGCCCCGAGAUGAGUUCUCCCUGAGACUGUAAGUCUCCUGAAGGAACGUUGAAGACGACGACGUUGAUAGGCCGGGUGUGUAAGCGCAGCGAUGCGUUGAGCUAACCGGUACUAAUGAACCGUGAGGCUUAACCUU